rnacentral:rRNA from 1 species
AGUGAACGCUGGCGGUAGGCCUAACACAUGCAAGUCGAACGGCAGCACAGUAAGAGCUUGCUCUUACGGGUGGCGAGUGGCGGACGGGUGAGGAAUACAUCGGAAUCUACUUUUUCGUGGGGGAUAACGUAGGGAAACUUACGCUAAUACCGCAUACGACCUACGGGUGAAAGCAGGGGAUCUUCGGACCUUGCGCGAUUGAAUGAGCCGAUGUCGGAUUAGCCAGUUGGCGGGGUAAAGGCCCACCAAGGCGACGAUCCGUAGCUGGUCUGAGAGGAUGGUCAGCCACACUGGAACUGAGACACGGUCCAGACUCCUACGGGAGGCAGCAGUGGGGAAUAGUGGACAAUGGGCGCAAGCCUGAUCCAGCCAUACCGCGUGGGUGAAGAAGGCCUUCGGGUUGUAAAGCCCUUUUGUUGGGAAAGAAAAGCAGCAGGUUAAUACCCCGCUGUUCUGACGGUACCCAAAGAAUAAGCACCGGCUAACUUCGUG